rnacentral:rRNA from 1 species
GACGAACGCUGGCGGCGUGCUUAACACAUGCAAGUCGAGGGUAGCAAUACACUGGCGCAAGGGUGCGUAACGCGUAGAUUAUCUGCCCCAUACACUAACAUAACGCUUGGAAACGGGUGCUAAUAUUAGAUGAGGUGCUUCGGCAUCAAAGUUUCGACGGUAUGGGAUGAGUCUGCGUCUGAUUAGCUAGUUGGUAGUGUAAUGGACUACCAAGGCGACGAUCAGUAGCUGGUCUGAGAGGACGAUCAGCCACACUGGAACUGAGACACGGUCCAGACUCCUACGGGAGGCAGCAGUGAGGAAUUUUGCGCAAUGGACGAAAGUCUGACGCAGCGACGCCGCGUGUGGGAUGAAGGGGCUACGCCCUGUAAACCACUGUUAGAUGUGAAAAAAAAGAUGGCUUUGCCGUCCGGGAUUGUAACAUCAAAGAAAGGACCGGCUAACUACGUGCCAGCAGCCGCU